rnacentral:rRNA from 1 species
GACGAACGCUGGCGGCGUGCCUAAUACAUGCAAGUCGAGCGGGCCUCCGGAGGUGCUUGCACCUCCGGAAGGCCAGCGGCGGACGGGUGAGUAACACGUGGGCAACCUGCCUUUGAGGCCGGGAUAACACCGGGAAACCGGUGCUAAUACCGGAUGCGUCCCCUUUCGCGCCUGCGAGAGGGGAGAAAGACGGUCUUUAAGGCCGUCGCUCAAAGAGGGGCCCGCGGCGCAUUAGCUGGUUGGUGGGGUAAGGGCCUACCAAGGCGACGAUGCGUUGCCGAGCUAAGAGGGUGAUCGGCCACACUGGGACUGAGACACGGACCAGACUCCUGCGGGAGGCAGCAGUAGGGAAUCAUCCGUAAUGGGCGAAAGCCUGACGGUGCAACGCCGCGUGAGUGAGGAAGGUUUUCGGAUCGUAAAGCUCUGUUGUGAGGGAAGAACAGCUUCCGGAGGAAAUGCCGGAGGUUUGCCGGUACCUCACCAGAAAGCCCUGGCUAACUACGUGCCAGCAGCCGCUGUAACAC